UACGUAGGGAGCGAGCGUUGUCCGGAUUUAUUGGGCGUAAAGAGCUCGUAGGCGGCUUGGCAAGUCGGAUGUGAAAACUCCAGGCUCAACCUGGAGACGCCAUCCGAUACUGCUAUGGCUAGAGUCCGGUAGGGGACCACGGAAUACCUGGUGUAGCGGUGAAAUGCGCAGAUAUCGGGAGGAACACCAGAGGCGAAGGCGGCGACCUGGACAGACACUGACACUCAACUACGAAAGCGUGGGGAGCAAACAGG
rnacentral:rRNA from 1 species